AUGGUAAUGAGCAGACAGGACUAUUUUUGUAAAUCAAAACCAUGUUUUUCUUGAGUGUAAAACUGAGUGUAAAAGAACCUUUCCUAUUACCUUCUUUGUAGUACAUCGUAUCUACCAAAAGGAGUUUUAUAUCAAUCAGCCAGCAUAACAACAGGGAACAAAGCAACACAGACCCCCUUAUGCAUCUGAUGGAGAUUGCUUUAUUGUAGAAAUUACACCCUUUUUAUACCUUUAAUCUCUACCUGACAUAACUGAAACCAAAUUGAGACCUAAAAGAAUUUAACAGAAGAAGGGCACCCAUUGGCUGACUCAGCUGCAGUGCUGCUGUCCACACAUUCUAACAUCCAAUCAGCUUCCCGCUCAUGUGCUGUCCACACAUUCCUCAGCCAAUCACAAUCUCACUCCCAACUGUCGCUCAGCUGACUGUCUCCUCACUCCUAAUUGCCUUUCACCCCUCAACCGACUUUCAGCUGUGCCUUUCCCAUUGGGCCUUCUGAGUUAUUGAAGUUCUCUUCUUGUGUCUACACUCCUCCACUAGAGCUGCUGGGACUGAUUUGCUGCAUGGCACAAGCACUGCUAUUUUGGAAGUCAGAGCAGCCUGAACUGGGAGGCUGAUUUGGAGUCAUGUGCUUCUGCAGUCCAGAGCAGGUUCUAUGUAAAGAUGGACAACUCUAAUUUUGAGAGGGUCAUGUUAGGGAGCUCCUAUCUCAUAUUCUGUGGAUGUCUACAGAACCCAGCACUAAAACUUUAUAAAGUGAACUUAAUUCACCAAGCUGCUGUGCUCAGCUCAGACAUGCUGCUAACACAGCAAUGAGAUUGCUCAAUGCCUCGCUGCUGCUUCCUGCAAGAUGAAAAUUCACUGUGCUCCAAGAGCUAGAUGAGGCAACAGUGUUUCCAGAAUUGCCAUUGCUGAGGAUCAGCUGCCAUGGGGAAGGCUUCAGAUUAAACCAACUGCUGAAUGGUUUAAUUGGUCUGGUACCUGAGGCUUCUGAU